GAUGCGAACGACUAUCGAUACAAAAAGCAUUGAAGCGUUCUAACCGAACUGAUAAGUACUUUGAAAUGGAGAGACGUCGUUUAUAGCUAUUGAAAUAGCACGUUAACUUGUUUUACUCUCUAAGGUUCAGAGAAGAGUAAGUGGCAGGCCUACAAUUAAACAAAUUUGUGCUAAAUAUUUUUUGCCCUCGAUUCGUAAGGUCAUGGAGUGGUCACGAAAUCGAUUUCAAUGUCAGAGAGCAAAAAUACAUAAACGAAACUCGAUAUUGGCUACCAAAAUCACUGUUCCUGAUAGCAGAUUUUUAUUGCCUGACGAUGAUCGACCGGUUUUCUCACUGACUGGAGGCUUUACCUCUACAGGAUAUGACAGCACAGCCGGUCUGCGAUGCAAUUGGGAAGUGAUGCCAAUUUAUUGGGAAGUGAACAAAUCUACACGACACCAUACCACCCACUUUUACUUUCAACUGUAAUGCUUGGCCUCCGAACGUGUUUCAAGGAAGAUCUUCAAGCAUCAAUUGCCGAUAUGUUGUACGGGUGCCUCCCCAACGAAUAUUUCUAUGACCUGGACGCGCCCUUAAUCCAUGUCAGUUUGUCAGUCAGUUUCGUACCAACAUGCAGUCGGUAAAGCCGACGCCAGCUUUGCAUCAUAGCAAGGCUAAUGUGCAGGUCUCACUGUGCAUGAUUGCGACAAGAGCGCUGCAAUUGCCAAGAAAAGCUGCGGCCUCCAGCAUGUUAUAUUUUGUGAGAAAUCAAUUCUUAAAACUAAAUACCGCGGCUCGAGUUUUGAGUGACUUGACAAAUACAAAUUCGAGUCUCUAAGAAAUCGCCGGUUAGAGCCUCAAUUUUUGCAGUUCCCUCUCCGUCUGUCAAGACACCGACGCCUCUUUUGUCCCUGCCUAGCAACUUGGAUUUAUCUUCGAUGUUGUCAUUAUCGCCUUCGCCGAGCGACUGUCCAGUUAUUAUCCCUGUUUUAUCCCCUGUUGUAGUCCCUUUAGACCCCGUACCUGAACCUGUCCCAGCUACCCAUACUGCCUCAGCCCCGUCAGGUCCUGGCCGUAAAGGUAGAUCUGCGCGCAACCUAGCCCAGAUUGUUAAAAAAAUUCUUGACGACUCUUUGGCCCCACUAAAUUCUGUUUUACCUGCAGCCCCAUCAGCUCCUACUUUAACCGUUGUUGCCCCUCAUAGGCAAGUUUUUGUCUCUCGACUUUCGUCUGACACCACUUGUGAGUCAUUGGCAGCCUAUAUUGCUAGCAAGUCUUCUGCCAAAAGUCAGUCAAAAAAUGUUUCACAUGAUAUAUUAGUGUGUAUAUGCUUUAAAAGAACACCCUAUAUACAAAUAUAAAGUAUG